GACAGAGGUGCCGAGCGUUAGGCGGAAUCACUGGGCUUAAAGCGUGUGUAGGCGGAUCGUUAAGUGUCUUGUGAAAUCCCACGGCUCACCCGUGGAACUGCUGGGCAUACUGGCGAUCUUGGGCCAACUAGGGGCAGCCGGAACAAGCGGUGGAGCGGUGAAAUGCGUAGAUAUCGCUUGGAACGCCGAAGGUGAAAACAGGCUGCUGGGGUUGCGCCGACGCUGAGACACGAAAGCCAGGGGAGCAAACGGG
rnacentral:rRNA from 1 species